rnacentral:rRNA from 1 species
AGAGUUUGAUCAUGGCUCAGAUUGAACGCUGGCGGCAGGCCUAACACAUGCAAGUCGUGCGGAAACGACAUUAUUGAUUCUUCGGAGGAUUUAAUGGGCGUCGAGCGGCGGACGGGUGAGUAAUGUCAAGGAAAUUGCCUUGAUGUGGGGGAUAACCAUUGGAAACGAUGGCUAAUACCGCAUAAUGCCUACGGGCCAAAGAGGGGGACCUUCGGGCCUCUCGCGUCAAGAUAUGCCUAGGUGGGAUUAGCUAGUUGGUGAGGUAAUGGCUCACCAAGGCGACGAUCCCUAGCUGGUCUGAGAGGAUGAUCAGCCACACUGGAACUGAGACACGGUCCAGACUCCUGCGGGAGGCAGCAGUGGGGAAUAUUGCACAAUGGGCGAAAGCCUGAUGCAGCCAUGCCGCGUGUAUGAAGAAGGCCUUCGGGUUGUAAAGUACUUUCAGUUGUGAGGAAGGGUGUGUAGUUAAUAGUUGCGCAUCUUGACGUUAGCAACAGAAGAAGCACCGGCUAACUCCGUGCCAGCAGCCGCGGUAAUACGGAGGGUGCGAGCGUUAAUCGGAAUUACUGGGCGUAAAGCGCAUGCAGGUGGUUCAUUAAGUCAGAUGUGAAAGCCCAGGGCUCAACCUCGGAACUGCAUUUGAAACUGGUGAACUAGAGUGCUGUAGAGGGGGGUAGAAUUUCA